GACGAACGCUGGCGGCGUGCUUAACACAUGCAAGUCGAACGGAAAGGCCCUGCUUUUGUGGGGUUCUCGAGUGGCGAACGGGUGAGUAACACGUGAGUAACCUGCCCUUGACUUUGGGAUAACUUCAGGAAACUGGGGCUAAUACCGGAUAGGAUCUCCUGCUGCAUGGUGGGGGUUGGAAAGUUUCGGCGGUUGGGGCUGGACUCGCGGCUUAUCAGCUUGUUGGUGGGGUAGUGGCUUUCCAAGGCUUUGACGGGUAGCCGGCCUGCGAGGGUGACCGGCCACAUUGGGACUGAGAUACGGCCCAGACUCCUACGGGAGGCAGCAGUGGGGAAUAUUGCACAAUGGGAGGAAGCCUGAUGCAGCAACGCCGCGUGCGGGAUGACGGCCUUCGGGUUGUAAACCGCUUUCGCCUGUGACGAAGCGUGAGUGACGGUAAUGGGUAAAGAAGCACCGGCUAACUACGUG
rnacentral:rRNA from 1 species